AAACUGCUGAGUAACAUGUAGUUAAUUUACCCUUGGAUCAAGGAUAAUCUCGGGAAACUGAGGAUAAUACUUGAUAAGAAAUCACAUCUGGAAGGAGUGAUUUUUCAAAGCUUCUGCGUCUAAGGAUGAGACUGCACUGGAUUAGGUUGAUGUUAGGCUAAAAUCCUACCAUGCCUAUAAUCUAUAGGGGCUAUGAGAGUAGGAGCCCCCAGAUGGGUUCUGAGACACUAACCCAGACCCUACGGGGUGCAGCAGGCGCGAAACCUCCGCAAUGCGCGUAAGCGUGACGGGGGGAUCUCAAGUGCUGGCAUUUAAUGUCAGCUUUUCUAAAGUGUAUAUAGCUUUAGGAAUAAGUGGUGGGCAAGACGGUUGCCAGCCGCCACGGUAAUAACCGCACCACAAGUAGUAUUCACGUAUAUUGGGUUUAAAGCGUCCGUAGCCGGUUUAAUAAGUCCUCUGUAAAAUUCUAUAGAAAACUAUAGAGGUGCAGAAGAUACUAUUAAGCUAGAAACCGGGAGAGGCUGGAGGUACUCUUAGGGUAGUGGUGGAAUACUGUAAUCCUAAGGGGACCACCUGUGGCGAAGGCGUCCAGCUGGAACGGAUUUGACGGUGAGGGACGAAAGCCAGGGGAGCGAACGGGAUUAGAUACCCCGGUAGUCCUGGCCGUAAACGAUGCCCGCUAAGUAUUGAGAAUCUUACGUGGA
rnacentral:rRNA from 1 species